rnacentral:rRNA from 1 species
UACAGAGGUCCCAAGCGUUGUUCGGAUUCACUGGGCGUAAAGGGUGCGUAGGUGGUUGGGUAAGUUUGAUGUGAAAUCUCCGGGCUUAACCCGGAAACUGCAUUGAAUACUAUCUGGCUAGAGGGUUGGAGGGGGGACUGGAAUACUUGGUGUAGCAGUGAAAUGCGUAGAUAUCUGGAGGAAUACCGGUGGCGAAGGCGGCAUCCUGGACCAUAACUGACGCUGAGGCGCGAAAGCUAGGGGAGCAAACGGG